rnacentral:rRNA from 1 species
GGGUCUAAUACCGGAUAACACUCUGUCCUGCAUGGGACGGGGUUGAAAGCUCCGGCGGUGAAGGAUGAGCCCGCGGCCUAUCAGCUUGUUGGUGGGGUAAUGGCCUACCAAGGCGACGACGGGUAGCCGGCCUGAGAGGGCGACCGGCCACACUGGGACUGAGACACGGCCCAGACUCCUACGGGAGGCAGCAGUGGGGAAUAUUGCACAAUGGGCGAAAGCCUGAUGCAGCGACGCCGCGUGAGGGAUGACGGCC